UCUCGAUUGGUCUAGUGGUAAGGAUACCUGCUUGUCAAUUGAUGCAAUUCGCAGGUGGCCGGGGUUCGAUUCCCCGAUCGAGAG
rnacentral:tRNA from 1 species